rnacentral:rRNA from 1 species
AAACAUCUAAGUACCCGGAGGAAAGGAAAUCAAGAGAGACUCCGCUAGUAGUGGCGAGCGAACGCGGACCAGCCGAGCCUUGAAGAGCGAGCAGAAUGCACUGGAAAGUGCAGCCAUAGUGGGUGACAGCCCCGUAUGCGAAGUUCCAAAGGACAUAUCAAGUAGGGCGGGACACGUGAAAUCCUGUCUGAAGAUCGGGGGACCACCCCCGAAGGCUAAGUACUCCUUACUGACCGAUAGCGAACCAGUACCGUGAGGGAAAGGUGAAAAGCACCCCGACGAGGGGAGUGAAACAGUUUCUGAAACCGGACGCCUACAAGCAGUCGGAGGGGCCUUGAGCCCUGACGGCGUACCUUUUGUAUAAUGGGUCAACGACUUAGUCUCACAAGCAAGCUUAAGCCGAUAGGUGUAGGCGCAGGGAAACCGAGUCUUAAAUGGGCGAAUGAGUUUGUGGGAUUAGACCCGAAACCAGGUGAUCUAGCCAUGAG